rnacentral:rRNA from 1 species
CCUACGGGAGGCAGCAGUGGGGAAUAUUGGGCAAUGGAGGAAACUCUGACCCAGCGACGCCGCGUGCGGGAUGAAGGCCUUCGGGUUGUAAACCGCUUUCAGCAGGGAAUAAGCGCAAGUGAAGGUACCUGCAGAAGAAGCACCGGCUAACUAUGUGCCAGCAGCCGCGGUAAUACAUAGGGUGCAAGCGUUGUCCGGAAUUAUUGGGCGUAAAGAGCUCGUAGGUGGUUUGUUACGUCGGAUGUGAAAUUCAGGGGCUCAACCCCUGACUUGCAUUCGAUACGGGCAAGCUGGAGUUUGGUAGGGGAGACUGGAAUUCCUGGUGUAGCGGUGGAAUGCGCAGAUAUCAGGAGGAACACCGAUGGCGAAGGCAGGUCUCUGGGCCAAUACUGACACUGAGGAGCAAAAGCGUGGGGAGCGAACAGGAUUAGAUACCCUGGUAGUCCACGCCGUAAACGGUGGGCACUAGUUGUGCGAACCUUCCACGGUUUGUGCGACGCAGCUAACGCAUUAAGUGCCCCGCCUGGGGGAGGUACGAGUCGCAAGAAGUUAAAACUAACAAAUAGAAGUUAGACGGCGUGAGACGUGCCGAACGGACGACGACGACGGGAGGAGG